rnacentral:rRNA from 1 species
AUUGAACGCUGGCGGCAGGCCUAACACAUGCAAGUCGAGCGAGCGGCGGACGGGUGAGUAAUGUCUGGGAAACCGCCCGAUGGAGGGGGAUAACUACUGGAAACGGUAUCUAAUACCGCAUACCAUCAGAUGUGCCCAGAUGGGAUUUGCUAGUAGGUGGGGUAACGGCCCACCUAGGCGACGAUCCCUAGCCGGUCUGAGAGGAUGACCAGCCACACUGGAACUGAGACACGGUCCAGACUCCUACGGGAGGCAGCAGUGGGGAAUAUUGCACAAUGGGCGCAAGCCUGAUGCAGCCAUGCCGCGUGUGUGAAGAAGGCCUUCGGGUUGUAAAGCACGUUUAGUUGGGAGGCGUUACCGACAGAAUAAGCACCGGCUAACUACGUGCCAGCAGCCGCGGUAAUUC